rnacentral:lncRNA from 1 species
GGAGCUCAACCAGUUGCCUGACAAGAGCUCUUCGGCAAAAGCUCUUAUCAGUUUAAAAAGCCUUUCAGAAAUGCAAAACGAAGUCUACUCUUGUCUGAUGAAGAUGAUAGACAAAUAAAUACAAAAUCAUCUAAAAGAAAUGAGAGAGUUGCAAUGGUUCCACAGAAAUUUACAGCAAUAAUGUCUACACCACAGCCCUUGGAGACAACUGCUGCCACAGAGAACAUGAAGAAACAUAUCCUCUUAUGCAUAGUGGCGAAGGCGGAAAUUUCACCCGGAAAAGGACCACUCUGGUGGAGUUAGCUGAUCACCACCUCAGUCUUUGGGAGAUGAAGUCAGGUGGCGUGGGGAGCUCUAGUUUAAGGAAGCCACUGGAGUAUGAAUGGAAAUACAG